GAUGAACGCUAGCUACAGGCUUAACACAUGCAAGUCGAGGGGCAGCAUUUUAGUUUGCUUGCAAACUAAAGAUGGCGACCGGCGCACGGGUGAGUAACACGUAUCCAACCUGCCGAUAACUCGGGGAUAGCCUUUCGAAAGAAAGAUUAAUAUCCGAUAGUAUAUUAAAACCGCAUGGUUUUACUAUUAAAGAAUUUCGGUUAUCGAUGGGGAUGCGUUCCAUUAGUUUGUUGGCGGGGUAACGGCCCACCAAGGCGACGAUCGGUAGCCGGACUGAGAGGUUGAACGGCCACAUUGGGACUGAGACACGGCCCAG
rnacentral:rRNA from 1 species